GGAGCAAGCGCCUAUACUCUCUUGGC
rnacentral:piRNA from 1 species